CACUCUCUUGACCAGCCUUUCAGGUAUACAAUUUUUAAAAAACAAUUUUUUCUGUUUCUCUUUGUCUUACUUUUUCACCCAUAAAUUUAGGAAUGUCUUUACAGCUUCGGGUAAGCCAACCAGGGUCUUCUUAUCUUACAGGCCCACAGAUCUACAGGGAAAGGGGCUCUAGAAGGUUGUAGGUCUUUUUUCUUUUUCCCCAUAAGAUAGUAGCUUACUUAGUCCUUAUUUUGCUUGGCAACAUGAAUAAACUUUCACUUUCUUUUCUCCAGAAACUCUGCUCUCAUUAUUUGUGAGCUGGCAUUGAGUUCAGGAGAACAAAUUUCCCGUAUUGCAUCAGGUUAUGAUGCAGCAUGAGUGCCUCACCAGAUAAGGUUGCCAGGCCAGUUAUUACCCCCGAGACUGAAAGCUCAGUAAGUAGCUCUUCUUUAUGAAGAAAUUCAUCUCAGGUAAUUUGUUAUAGCUAUACAAAACAGAUAAAGGUGGGUGGUAACAGCUUAAUUGAAAGAACAAUUAAAGAGAAAAGAACUGGAACCCAAUGCAAUAGUUUGCUUUAUGGAGGCAAAGGUCUACAGCAUGGAAUACUGAAAUGAAGGACCCAGAUCUCCAAAGAUGGAUAGAAUACUGAGACAGUCUUCUGCUUAGCAACUUAAAAGAUAGACAGAUUCUACCUUGCCUAUAACUCAAACUCUGCCCACCCAUCUCUACAACUACAAUUCUUUCAGCUCUCGUUCCUCUGACAGCAUAGAAAAGCUAUCCAGCUGCAGUGUGUAUGGGGGGUAAUCUGUCCAUGUUUUCCUGCUUCUCCAGGGCACUGGCAAGUGUACUUACUGUACAUUGACCAGGGCUCACUAGCUAUAACCCAAUAGUGUGGAGUAUCUGUGUGUGCGUGCAGAAGCUGGAAAUGUAAGGCAGCACAUAAAAAAGGGAAGAAGGAAGAGAAGAUGUGGGGUGCCUGGGGUAGGGUGAGAAAGGGUCAAGAGGUCUGACAGAAUAAAAGUUGCAUGAGCACAGAGGUGUGGCUCUAUGGUGAAGCACCAUACAUGAGACAAGCUUCCUGGGCAGUCUCCAGGGAACUAUACCUGCUUAGGGACCUUUUAGAUGUACUGUGGCCUUAGUGCAGCCUGGAGCACUGACAGAUCUGUGAGUAGAGGAAGAGGAAGUAAUCCCUUGUAGCUUUAGAUAGAAUGCAGUUUGACCUGCUCAUUUAUUUCCAACGUUUAGUUUUGGUUCAAGAUUGCCUGCCCUUGUGCCCUGUUUCUGGAAAGGACAAAGGAAGCUCUCUACCAUAACUUCAUUUCUUACCUUUCAGAUCUUCAGAUUUCCACAGUCUGUAUGAUCUCCAGGAUAGACACUUGGAAAGGAGGAGAGAGGAUGCCAGUAGAAAGACAGGUGUGGAGGGGUGGGGGAGGGUUGCAGAGAAAUAGGUAGAAAAGUCUGGUCCAAGUGUCCACAAGAACACAGCUGGGUAAAGGAUGUGUGGAAGGCUAGGGACCUCUGUACACCAGCUUUAUAAUCACAAUAAUGUUUUUAAAGGUUGGGGAGAGAGGUCUAAACUGUUAGUGGUGGUGGCCAGAAAAGACAAUUUUUAAGGUUCAGCUAGCCUAGAGGAAGAUAAAAGAGCCUUUCCAUCUCAUUGUUAGAAAUGAGCCCAAAUACUAUCAUCUCUAAGCUCUGAUCAUCUCAUUUCCCUCCCCACAAUGCCCUUCUCCCAGAUCUUCCUUCCCAGGUCCACACCAGCUUCAUUUCUACUUUUUCUGUGCUCCCAUAAUGCCUAUCACUUUAUCUGCAAGUGCACUUACCACUUAUUUUAUAAUUAUCUAUAUAUGUGGCCGCAUCUGUCAUGAAUCUGGGAGCCAUAACCAAGUCUCAUUCACUAUGUAGUCCCCAGGUCUGUCCCUGACCUGGCACAUGUUAGUGCCUAAGUUAGUGUAACUGUCCAUUGUGACACUUGGACAUCUUCAAAUUCACACAAACAGCUAUGUGACACUGAGGGCAAGGGAUCAUUUUGCUGCAUGAGGGUAAUGGGAGGUAGGGAGAGGAAGAUAGAAAAAUAUUUUUUUAAAAAAGAAUGAACAUUAAACAGCUAAACUAUGAAUAUAAUUUCUGAUGGAUCAAAGUUUCCUACUGCAGAAAUGGACAAAGUAGAGAGAAGAAACUGAAGCAGGUAAAGAUAAAAGAAUUCUUUUCCUGCUGAAUACCUGAAACCCCAAACAUACAACAACAAGAAAACCAAGAAUGAAGGUAAGGCAUUGAGUGUAAAACCACAAACAGAGAGACAAGAAGACAUUACCAAAGAUAAUAAUGCAGAAAAGCAUAGGCAGCAAGAGCGACCCUACCCUAGAAUGAGCAAUAUUUCCCUGGAUCAAUAUUUGAUUGUUUCCAUUUUGGAAAGCCAUCUUAAUUUUAAAUAAGAUUUCCACUUUCUUCCUAACAUGUGGCCUC